AACCCAUAGUGAGGGCACAUUUUCAAAAGGUCUUUGUAUCUCUCCCAUGCAUCGUAGAGUGUUUCUAAAUCCAUCUGCCCAAAAGAAGAGAUAUCAUUACGUAAUUU
rnacentral:snoRNA from 1 species